AUUGAACGCUGGCGGCAGGCUUAACACAUGCAAGUCGAGCGGGGUGAUGGUGCUUGCACUAUCACUUAGCGGCGGACGGGUGAGUAAUGCUUAGGAAUCUGCCUAUUAGUGGGGGACAACAUCUCGAAAGGGAUGCUAAUACCGCAUACGUCCUACGGGAGAAAGCAGGGGAUCACUUGUGACCUUGCGCUAAUAGAUGAGCCUAAGUCGGAUUAGCUAGUUGGUGGGGUAAGGGCCUACCAAGGCGACGAUCUGUAGCGGGUCUGAGAGGAUGAUCCGCCACACUGGGACUGGGACACGGCCCAGACUCCUACGGGAGGCAGCAGUGGGGAAUAUUGGACAAUGGGGGGAACCCUGAUCCAGCCAUGCCGGGUGUGUGAAGAAGGCCUUAUGGUUGUAAAGCACUUUAAGCGAGGAGGAGGCUCUUUUGGUUAAUACCCAAGAUGAGUGGACGUUACUCGCAGAAUAAGCACCGGCUAACUCUGUGCCAGCCGCCGCCGUAA
rnacentral:rRNA from 1 species